UACGUAGGGUGCGAGCGUUGUCCGGAAUUAUUGGGCGUAAAGAGCUCGUAGGCGGUUUGUCGCGUCGGCCGUGAAAACUUGGGGCUUAACCCUGAGCCUGCAGUGGGUACGGGCAGACUAGAGUGUGGUAGGGGAGAUCGGAAUUCCUGGUGUAGCGGUGGAAUGCGCAGAUAUCAGGAGGAACACCGGUGGCGAAGGCGGAUCUCUGGGCCGAUACUGACGCUGAGGAGCGAAAGCGUGGGGAGCGAACAGG
rnacentral:rRNA from 1 species